AUGCCUCCAGGGAUGGGGCAUCCACAACCUCCUUGGGCAACCUGUUCCAGUGCAUCACCACCCUCUGUGUGAAAAACUUCUUCCUAACAUCUAACCUAAACCUCCCCUGUCCCAGUUUAAAACUAUUCCCCCUUGUCCUAUCACUGUCCACCCUUGUAAACAGCUGUUCCCCCUUCCUGUUUAUACACUCCCUUCAAGUACUGGAAAGCCACAGUACGGUCUCCCCGGAGCCUUCUCUUCUCCAAGCUAAACGAGCCCAGUUCCCUCAACCUUUCCUCAUAGGAGAGGUGCUCCAGCCCUCUGAUCAUCUUAGUUAUUGCAUUCUUUGCAAUCACUUGCAGCCUGGGACUGCUUUCUGGCUCUGAAUUAUUAGAUACCCUUUACUACUUUUUUCUUGUUGUGACAUCUUCCUGCCAUACAAUUCAUAUGACAACUGCCAUUUAGUGUGUAUAUAUAGGGAAGGGUUGUUUAUUUUAGUACCAAUUGUCACACCUGUUAUAAACAUACUACUGCUACAUAUUCCAGUUGCUAAAUAUAUAAUAACAACUGCAGUACUCUUUAAAACUGACUUAAGACUGAGAUGGAAAGUGGCUGCAGUGUACUUGCUUUCAGUGAUGUCUGGGCUGGAGUUAUUUGGAGCUGCAGUGGUUGAUUAUUGUUUGCGAGGAGGGUAAGAAUAUUAAAAGUUAAUGGCCAGCCUUGGAAUAACAGAUAUCUGAUACUGUUGGGCUUUCCUAGUGGUGAAGGAAGAUAAUUUGGGUACAGGAAUGGGAGUUGGUUUGUAUUAGAUUUAACUUACAAGAAAAUGCUACGAUGAAAAUCUCCUUUUUAUUUGGUUUGAUGUAUUUCUGCAGUUCUUAAAAUAAUUGUGGCAAAUGGAGCGAUGUUUGAAGUGUAUAAAAAUGGAAAGCUUUCAUUCCAUCUCUGAGAAGCGUGCCAAGUGAUGAAAAUUAAGGUAAAAAGGAAUUUGUGGAAGAAAUGAAGAGCAUAGACUUCUCUGGAAUGUGAGAGAGGCAGGCGUGUUGGUGUUCCUGCAAUAUUCAGGAAUUUCCCUCUGGGGCUGCACUUGGCUUGAGGACUACAGCUGCUGCACACAGCAAACCAGGGUGACCAGCAGAUGUCAGCUCUUUGGUUCGGUGCAGGUUUUUUUUAAUAUACUGGUAUUUUGAAACACUCAGCUUUUAAAGCUCCGUGUUAAUGUUCAUAGGGAUAUUAAUGAUUUUGAAAGCUUUAUGAAAGAUGAGUGCAUCUGUGUCCUGCUUAACUAUCAGAUGCAGAAAACCACAGCCCACAGUGACUGGUCCAGAAACAGAAGGGAUGAGAAGAGAGCUCCCUCGAGCUGCUUCUGUGGAGCAGCCUCGGUAAAACUUUCAGUCCCUACUGAGUGAUUAAGUCUCAUCAGGAGGAAAUCGCAGUUGCUGUGGACAGGACUACACAGGGAAAAUGAAACAAAGGUGAUGAUACCACCUGCUGCGUGCGAACUCAGUCCCACGCCGAACACACGCAUUGCAUGGGUGAUAAAUCUGCAUUCAAUGACAGCAGAUUUGGGCUCAUCACUUUGCCUCAAUCAUCAGGAACGCAAACAGUAAACAACAAGCAGGCCCAACUACUAUCAGCCUGCCAUCUCUCGGGGCCAGGUGAGUCACGCUGCUCUCUUUGCACAGGUGUGAUACAACAAACGCAUGGUGAGGGCUCCCAGAUGCAGGGUCAAACUGCUAAUAAAUAACCCAUGUGUCAAAGCGAUUCCCACUGGUAGGCUUGCUGGGGAAGCGAAGUGAUGCCCUGUGGUGUUGUUCUGAUCUGCAGCACAGUAUCUUCUAAAAACAAGAGCUGAGUAAUUCCAGAAUUUCUGGGAAUGUUCUCAGCACAAAUGGGUAGCAUUUGUCCACAUUGGGUGACAUCAGAUGAAGAAUCAUAUUUUACUGAAAUAACUGCUUAGUCCCUCUCUCAUCACUGCACUCAGGGUAACUCAUGAUUAUGGCUGAGAGAUUUUCUGUAGGUAAGCGUGGAUCGUGGCUCAUUUUCUGUGGCCUCCCUUCUUUACCCCCAUUUGCUUCUUUCCUCCCUGCAUACCCAGGAAUGCGCUGAUUCCAGCUGCAAUUUGGCUUCUCUCGCUCCCUGGCCCACCAUGGCACCAGUAGGUGCAGGGCUUUGGCCAGGCCGCGGGCCCAGAGGCCGAGCAGCGGGCUGGGCCAUGAGCAAGCACUGCCAAGUGCUAACUCUGCCUCAAGGCCUCUGCAGCAGUGACCAGUACAGGGGUCACACACAAACUCCUCCACAGCCAGGACACUGGGUCCCCUCUCAUAGGGAUUUGAUACUUGCACACACAUACGUCCACAUACAUCUUGCACAGACCUCUGGGUUUUCUUUCCCUGAAGAGCAGGAAAAACAAAAACAUCCCUUUAACAGGGACAGAACUGACUUUGCUAACCUCCUCUCAUAGAUGUAUCUCAUUGAUGUAAUUUGAGAGGGGCUCCCGAUGCUUUUGAAGGAGGCCCUUCGCUGCCUGAAAUCAGCAGAGCUGGAUCUCCUCUCUCCCUGACCUUUAGGGCUGGGGCUGUUCAGAUCCCACAGCUCUCUUACACCUUUCCUCGUGGACUACACCGCUACCCAAGAAGAUCAGAAAGAAGAGCAGAAUGAAUUUAUCUUAAUUGGCAGUCCUUGGUGUCCUCUAGAUUGAUGAACUCCCAUCAUUGAAGUAUGUGAUUGAAGUACAUCUGAAGGUCAAAAAGUGGCUUAAGAAAAUAAAUAGAAAGCUUUCUGGCUGUUAAAAACUGACAUGGAAUUAGGUACUUGUGAGGGAGAGUGAUGCAUGGAGAAUGUCUAAUAAAGAAUGUGGAGAAUUUGGGGAGUGUGAGACGCCUGUAAGAUGCCACACUUCAGAGAGUGCUGUCUGGGUCAGAGCGUGGGUGAGAGGAGCCUCUCUCAAAGGACUCUUCUUUGUGCCUUCAGACAGAGCUGUACCUGAGGUCUGUCCAUAUCAGUUAUUAGUAACGGGGGAAUGGUGAAAGCAAAUAUUAAACACAGUCCUG
ensembl:lncRNA